rnacentral:rRNA from 1 species
UACGAAGGGUGCAAGCGUUACUCGGAAUUACUGGGCGUAAAGCGUGCGUAGGUGGUGAGUUAAGUCUGUCGUGAAAGCCCCGGGCUCAACCUGGGAAUGGCGAUGGAUACUGGCUCGCUAGAGUGCGGUAGAGGAGAGUGGAAUUCCCGGUGUAGCAGUGAAAUGCGUAGAUAUCGAGAAGAACACCGGUGGCGAAGGCGGCCAACUGGACGGUGACUGACACUGAGACGCGAAAGCGUGGGGAGCAAACAGG